rnacentral:snoRNA from 1 species
GUGCAGUGAAGAUUUGGAACCAAUUCUGAAAAUUUUUAAUGUAGCAAUACAAAUCGAGCUUUUUAAUACUGAGCACC